UUUAAUCCCUCCUUCUCGCUCCCCUACGUCAAGCCAUAGGCUUUUGCAGAAAUAAAAACCCUAAUUCUUUAUCCUUCCACGAGAACCCUUCCUUUCCUCCCCCUCUCUAUCCUCCCACGGUAUUCUGUUGUUGAAGAUGUCGGCUCCGGCACUGGCAGGCGGUUCCCUCUGGCGGCUCAUCCGGAGAUGAUGAGAGCGGCGCACUCACACUUUAUUGGUGAUUGAAGUUGCAUUUGGUGCCACGGUAUGUUCAGAUGGCGUAUGGACAAAAGGGAUGUGGUAAGAAAUACGUUCAUCAUGCAAAAGAAGAGAAGUAUGAAAUAUAUCCUGAAAUCAAAGAAUUCCCUGAUGUUAAUCUCAAACAAAAAGAAGAUUUCAGUAAAUUAAUAUGAUGGGGUGAUUGCAAAAGUUUGGGUUUCAUCUCCUUAUUAUUUGGAGGCUGCGGGUCAAGAUUCUGAAAGCUAAGAAACUUGGGCGUGAAUUAUCGGCUCAUGAAGCGUGGAAGCAAUCACACUGCAAGAAACGAAGUCGACCAUUGGAUAAAGAUCUAAGUUGUAGCAGUCACUACUUUUGGACGUUGAUUCGGAAGGGAACACUCAAGAAGAAAAUCUUGUAUGGGUUGAUGCUAGGGCAGAUGAGACUUGGGUUAAAUAUGAAGGGUUUCUUGUGGAGAAGUAUGGGAAAGAACGUAAUAAACAUCCAAAAUUUGACUGACUUGUGGUCACAAGAUGAGGGCAAGAAUAAAAGAUAAGUGCACGGGUUAUGUAAUGUUAGUGACCCUUGUGUACAUAGCAGAGAAGACCCUAAGAUUGAAAAGUUGAACUUAGUUAUCAAGGAGCUCGUUAAGGAAAAAGAUGAAGAAAAAUAAAGGUUCAAUGGAAUUAUUGCGGGGUUGUUGGCUGAAAAAGAAAAAGAUAAGGUGGAUAAAGAUGUUGUGCUUGAUAGGAUGUCACAAAUUAAAGCUAUGUUAACAGCUUCAGUUCGAAGAUAUGCUAUAAACACUUGGUAUUGAAUGUUUAGAUGUUUAUCUUAUUAGGAUGAUUUUAGUUAUUUUAUGUUUUAGUUGGUAUUUAUUAUAUGCUUUUGAAAACGAUAUGUUGUAUAUAAUUUUUGGAUUUUUGGAUUUU